rnacentral:lncRNA from 1 species
ACCUUCAUAAAUAAAGCUAAAUUGCUAUGCUUAAUGAUUAUUUUCUUUUCUUUUAUCUACCCCUCUUAAUAUGCUAAAACUUAUUGAACUUAAUAAAUGAGAGAAUACAAAGGUUUCUAUUUCAAUAAAUAAUUGGUGAAAUUUUAUUUGAGAUUUCCACCAUCUUAAAAAACUGGCUUCAAAAUCUUAAACUUUGACUAGUGAAUAAAGCUCAAAUGGUGUUCACUGUUUUGAAACCACCAGCUUCUUCACCUCCUUUUUAUUUACCUGAAAUUUCACAGGAGAAACAAUUAACUAGUUUUCCAUCUAAGAAGGCAUGUCAAGGUGAAAAACUAGAAAUUCUGUCCAUAAGAACAAAAUAGAAACAAAAGUAAAUUACCUUCCCCAUGGCAUUGGGAGGGAGCUUUUCCCACA